GAUGAACGCUGACAGAAUGCUUAACACAUGCAAGUCGACUGGAAUUCACCUUCGGGUGAUAGUACGGUGGCGGACGGGUGAGUAACGCGUAAAGAACUUGCCCUCUAGACUGGGACAACUGUUGGAAACGACAGCUAAUACCGGAUAUUAUGAGAUUCUCGCAUGGGAAACUUAUGAAAGGCUAUAUGCGCUAGGAGGAGAGUCUUUGCGUGCCAUUAGGUAGUUGGUAGGUAAUGGCCUACCAAGCCGACGAUGGCUAGCCGGCCUGAGAGGGUGAUCGGCCACGAAGGGGACUGAGACGACGGCCCCUACUCCUACGGGGAGGCAGCAGGUGGGGAAUAUUGGACAAUGGAACCAAAGUCUGAUCCAGCAAUUCUGUGUGCACGAUGUAAGG
rnacentral:rRNA from 1 species